rnacentral:rRNA from 1 species
UNUGACUUGAGUGCAGAAGGGGAGAGUGGAAUUCCAUGUGUAGCGGUGAAAUGCGUAGAUAUAUGGAGGAACACCAGUGGCGAAAGCGGCUCUCUGNUCUGUCACUGACGCUGAGGCUCGAAAUCGUGGGUAGCGAACAGGAUUAGAUACCCUGGUAGUCCACGCCGUAAACGAUGAGUGCUAGGUGUUAGGCCCUUUCCGGGGCUUAGUGCCGGAGCUAACGCAAUAAGCACUCCGCCUGGGGAGUACGACCGCAAGGUUGAAACUCAAAGGAAUUGACGGGGGCCCGCACAAGCGGUGGAGCAUGUGGUUUAAUUCGAAGCAACGCGAAGAACCUUACCAGGUCUUGACAUCCCGAUGCUAUUCUUAGAGAUAGGAAGUUACUUCGGUACAUCGGAGACAGGUGGUGCAUGGUUGUCGUCAGCUCGUGUCGUGAGAUGUUGGGUUAAGUCCCGCAACGAGCGCAACCCUUAUUGUUAGUUGCCAUCAUUAAGUUGGGCACUCUAGCGAGACUGCCGGUAAUAAACCGGAGGAAGGUGGGGAUGACGUCAAAUCAUCAUGCCCCUUAUGACCUGGGCUACACACGUGCUACAAUGGUCGGUACAACGAGUUGCGAGCCGGUGACGGCAAGCUAAUCUCUGAAAGCCGAUCUCAGUUCGGAUUGGAGGCUGCAACUCGCCUCCAUGAAGUCGGAAUCGCUAGUAAUCGCGGAUCAGCACGCCGCGGUGAAUACGUUCCCGGGCCUUGUACACACCGCCCGUCACACCACGAGAGUUUGUAACACCCGAAGUC